rnacentral:rRNA from 1 species
GAUGAACGCUGGCGGCGUGCCUAAUACAUGCAAGUCGAGCGAACAGACGAGGAGCUUGCUCCUCUGACGUUAGCGGCGGACGGGUGAGUAACACGUGGAUAACCUACCUAUAAGACUGGGAUAACUUCGGGAAACCGGAGCUAAUACCGGAUAACAUGUUGAACCGCAUGGUUCAACAGUGAAAGACGGUCUUGCUGUCACUUAUAGAUGGAUCCGCGCCGCAUUAGCUAGUUGGUAAGGUAACGGCUUACCAAGGCAACGAUGCGUAGCCGACCUGAGGGCGAUCGGCCACACUGGAACUGAGACACGGUCCAGACUCCUACGGGAGGCAGCAGUAGGGAAUCUUCCGCAAUGGGCGAAAGCCUGACGGAGCAACGCCGCGUGAGUGAAGAAGGUCUUCGGAUCGUAAAACUCUGUUAUUAGGGAAGAACAAAUGUGUAAGUAACUAUGCACGUCUUGACGGUACCUAAUCAGAAAGCCACGGCUAACUACGUG